rnacentral:snRNA from 1 species
CCAGCUCUCUUUGCCAAAAGGCUUAGAUCAAGUGUAGUAUCUUUUCCCUCCAAUUUAAUCCUUGGAACCUGUCCAAAUAGAUAAAAUCAUACGAUCAAGCCAAUAUUUACAACGUCAUCCCGCGCCCCGGGAUAGGGUGUCUCUGAUAUCCCACUCCAUCCAGAAGAUGCGAAAUCGG